UACGUAGGGGCCAAGCGUUGUCCGGAUUUAUUGGGCGUAAAGAGCUCGUAGGUGGUUCGGCAAGUCAGUUGUGAAAUCUCCGCGCUCAACGCGGAGGGGUCAGCUGAAACUGCUGUGACUUGAGUCUGGUAGGGGGAGUGUGGAAUUCCCGGUGUAGCGGUGAAAUGCGCAGAUAUCGGGAGGAACACCAGUGGCGAAGGGCGGCACUC
rnacentral:rRNA from 1 species